rnacentral:tRNA from 1 species
AUUUAUAUAGUUUAAUUCAAAACCUUACACUUUCAUUGUAAAAAUAGGAUCUAAUCAUCUUUAUAAAUA